GAACUGAAGAGUUUGAUCAUGGCUCAGAUUGAACGCUGGCGGCAGGCCUAACACAUGCAAGUCGAGCGGAUGAAGGGAGCUUGCUCCUGGAUUCAGCGGCGGACGGGUGAGUAAUGCCUAGGAAUCUGCCUGGUAGUGGGGGAUAACGUCCGGAAACGGGCGCUAAUACCGCAUACGUCCUGAGGGAGAAAGUGGGGGAUCUUCGGACCUCACGCUAUCAGAUGAGCCUAGGUCGGAUUAGCUAGUUGGUGGGGUAAAGGCCUACCAAGGCGACGAUCCGUAACUGGUCUGAGAGGAUGAUCAGUCACACUGGAACUGAGACACGGUCCAGACUCCUACGGGA
rnacentral:rRNA from 1 species